rnacentral:rRNA from 1 species
UUGUUAAGCCUUAUAAGAAAAAAGUUAUUAAUUUAAGGAAUUAUAACAAAGAAGCAACACAUAAUAAAACUCUGUUUUAUUUAGUGUGUAUCAAUCGAGUUUCUGACCUAUCAGCUUUUGAUGUUAGGGUAUUGGCCUAACAUGGCUAUGACGGGUAACGGGGAAUUAGAGUUCGAUUCCGGAGAGGGAGCCUGAGAAAUAGCUACCACAUCUAAGGAAGGCAGCAGGCGCGUAAAUUACCCAAUUCUAAAGAAGAGAGGUAGUGACAAGAAAUAACAAUGCAAGGCCAAAUUUUGGUUUUGCAAUUGGAAUGAUAGGAAUUUAAAAACUUCCUAAAGUAACAAUUGGAGGGCAAGUCUGGUGCCAGCAGCCGCGGUAAUUCCAGCUCCAAUAGCGUAUAUUAAAAUUGUUGCAGUUAAAACGCUCGUAGUUGAAUUUCAAAGAAUCAAUUUUUAAAAAAUGCUUUAUCGGAUGCGUGUUAAAUGGCGCUACGGCGCAUAUUUUUCACAAAUCUGAUAAUAUGCGUUUUUUAAAAUAAAAUAGAUUCUUUUUAAAAAUUCUUCGUUGCUUUUUAAGUGAUGAGAAUUUUUGUUACUUUGAGUAAAUUAGAGUGUUCAAAGCAAACAGUGUAUAACAGGCAACUGUGUUUGAAUACUACAGCAUGGAAUAACAAAAUUGAACAAGCUAAAAUUUUUGUUCUUUUUUCUUAUUUUGGCUUAGUUACGAUUAAUAGGAGUAGUUUGGGGGCAUUCGUAUUCAGAUGUCAGAGGUGAAAUUCUUAGAUUUUCUGGAGACGAACAACUGCGAAAGCAUUUGCCUAAAAUACUUCCAUUAAUCAAGAACGAAAGUUAAGGGAGUGAAGACGAUCAGAUACCGUCGUAAUCUUAACCAUAAACUAUGCCGACUAGGUGUUGGAUGAAAGUGUUAAAANGGAUUGUCUUUUAGCUUGCUUCCUUCAGUACCUUAUGAGAAAUCAAAGUCUUUGGGUUCUGGGGCGAGUAUUCGCGCAAGCGAGAAAGUUAAAAGAAUUGACGGAAGGGCACCACCAGGCGUGGAGCUUGCGGCUUAAUUUGACUCAACACGGGAAAACUCACUAGUUUAAGACAAGAGUAGGAUUGACAGAUUAAUAGCUCUUUCUUGAUUUCUUGGAUGGUGAUGCAUGGCCGUUUUUAGUUCGUGAAUAUGAUUUGUCUGGUUAAUUCCGAUAACGAACGAGAUCUUAACCUGCUAAUUAGCGGUAAAUACAACAUAUUCUUAAACAAAGAAGAAUAUAGAUAAAAAUUACGAAUAAGUGAAAAUAUUAGGAUAUUUUUUAAUAUCCUUUUCCCUUUUCAACUUAUUUUGUUUUUUUUAUUCUAUUUCUUUUUUUGUAUAAGAAUGUAUUUACUUGAUUGUAAAGCUUCUUAGAGGGACAUUGUGUGUCUAACACAAGGAAGUUUAAGGCAACAACAGGUCUGUGAUGUCCUUAGAUGAACUAGGCUGCACGCGUGCUACACUGAUAUAUAUAACGAGUUAUUAAAAAUAUACGAAUGUAUAUAUAUUUUAUAUAUAUACAUUUUGUAUAAUUUUCCUCCACUGAAAAGUGUAGGUAAUCUUUAUCAAUAUAUAUCGUGAUGGGGAUAGAUUAUUGCAAUUAUUAAUCUUGAACGAGGAAUGCCUAGUAAGCAUGAUUCAUC